rnacentral:tRNA from 4 species
GGCGCCAUGGUGCAACGGUUAGCACAUCACCCUUUCAAGGUGGAAAUACGGGUUCGAUUCCCGUUGGCGCUGCCA